GUUCUGUGGAAAGUAGGUAAAUGUCAGGUUGUAAGUGCUUCCUACAAAUCUGUAAAGAUAAUUCCCAAGCUAUGCUUUUCUUUUUAAAAACAUUCUCAAAACAAAAAUAUGAACAAAAACAUAGUGAAAGUCAUAGCCCAAGGCAUACCCAUCUGUAUCAUUAUAGACAACGUGUCCUGGAGAGACAGCACAAUGGGCUCUAUCUUCAUCACACAACUCAUCACAUGCUUCCAGAAAUAUUCUUGGUGCUGCCACCUAGAGGAAGUAUUUCGGAAGGUACAGCAAUCAUUUGAAACUCCAAGGGCCAAAGCUCAAAUGCCCACCAUAGAACGACUGUCCAUGACAAGAUAUUUCUACCUCUUUCCUGGCAAUUGAAAAUGGAAGCCACAAGCAGCCCAGCCCUCCUUAAUCAACUUCAAGGAGCACCUUCAUUAGUACAGCUUGCAUAUUUAACAUUUUGUAUUUCAAUAAAAGUGAAGAC
rnacentral:lncRNA from 1 species